GAUGAACGCUGGCGGCGUGCCUAAUACAUGCAAGUCGAGCGAACGGACGAGAAGCUUGCUUCUCUGAUGUUAGCGGCGGACGGGUGAGUAACACGUGGAUAACCUACCUAUAAGACUGGGAUAACUUCGGGAAACCGGGGCUAAUACCGGAUAAUAUUUUGAACCGCAUGGUUCAAAAGUGAAAGACGGUCUUGCUGUCACUUAUAGAUGGAUCCGCGCUGCAUUAGCUAGUUGGUAAGGUAACGGCUUACCAAGGCAACGAUGCAUAGCCGACCUGAGAGGGUGAUCGGCCACACUGGAACUGAGACACGGUCCAGACUCCUACGGGAGGCAGCAGUAGGGAAUCUUCCGCAAUGGGCGAAAGCCUGACGGAGCAACGCCGCGUGAGUGAUGAAGGUCUUCGGAUCGUAAAACUCUGUUAUUAGGGAAGAACAUAUGUGUAAGUAACUGUUCACAUCUUGACGGUACCUAAUCAGAAAGCCACGGCUAACUACGUG
rnacentral:rRNA from 1 species